UUUCAUCUCAUCUAUUCUUUCUUUCUUUCUUUUUAUCUUUUCCACUCUCUGCUCUGUUUUGAGCUGUAAGAACCGAAGAAGAAACAGAGCAACAGGGAGAGAGAGAGAGACGAGUGAGUGAAUGCUAGAGGAAGCAGAAAGAGAGAAUGGUUAGGGAGGGAGAGAGCUACCCAGAUAGGAAUCGUUACACAAGGAAGAGCUUAACCCUGCACUACGGGUAUUGAUUGAUUUCAGGAGUUGGUGAGAUCGAAAGCAAGCAUCUUGAAGGCUCAAUUCAGUGGACCAUACGUUGAGUGUUCUAUGAGCUAGGAGUUAGACUAGCAGCACAGGAGAACUCUUUUGAUAUUGGGGAUCAGCUCGGAGGACUAGGUAGAGACCAUAGUUAUUUGAUAGGUAUUCUUUUGUAUAAAAUGUAUUGAAUAGGUUACGAGCUAAAAAUUUUGUUUUGUUUAAUUUAGUAAUGUGGUUAAGAAAAGAAAAUUACUCUCUUUUGAGAUUAUAUUCAUAUUAGAGCUUGCUGGAUUGGUUUUAUAUUUUUGGGAGUCUAUGGAAAGCUAGUUUUAAUAUCGAGGAAAUAUAAGGGA